CUAUAAAAAAAUUACAAUAAUAAAUAAAAAAAAUAGUAAAAUAAUUAUUUAAUGUUAAAAUAUAUGUGUGAAAAAAAUGAAAAAAAAUGGAAUGAGAAAAGAAUAAAUAUAAAAAUGAAAAAAAUAAAAGAAAUGAUAACGGAAAAAAAAAACAUAUGAAUAAAUAAAAUUAAAAGAAAAAGAAGAAGAAGAAGAAAAAUAAUAAAAAAAUGAAAAGAAAAAAAUAUGAAUGAAAAAAUUGGUAGAAAAAAUGAAAAGAAAAAAUAGAAGAAGAAAAAAAAGCUUAUAUGUGUGAAAAAAAGAAAAAAAAUAGAAGGAGAAAAUAAUUAAUACAAAACUGAAGAAAAAAUAAAAAUAAAAAGAAAAAAAAAAGAAAGAAAGAAAACUGAAAAAAUAUGAAAAAAAUAUAUAAAUGAAAAAAGGAGAAGAAGAAGAAUGGAAAGAAAAAUGACAUAUUUUUGCAUAUUGAUAGUAUAAAUGUUAUAUUUUUGAAAAAUUCUCAUUAAGAUAUGAAUAUGAUACGUGCACCAGAAUAUUAUACUAAUUGACGUGAUAUUAAUUUUUUUUAAAAAGUAGCUUUAGUCCUCUCUAAAAUAAAUUUGUUUUGUUUAAUAAAACUGUCACAUCUGUUUUACCUUGCCAUUUAAAACUCACCUUUCAUAUCCUUUCAUUUUAAAAAAGGACAUCUAAACACUGCAGAAAAUGAGAUAUUAUAAACACGUUUUUCUUUGUAACUUAGUAUAGUGAAGAAUCUCCAUUAACGUUAGUCUAUUUUCCAUCACAUGAUUUUCAGCACUCCUUUUCAUUCUUCUUUACCCCUCCAACUUCGCAUUUUGGAAUUUUCCCUCCAUGCCUCCAGCAAUUUUCUCAGGAAAAUGGCCACAAAGAAACUAGUCUCUGCUUUCAGUUUUCUGGUCUUUCUAGUCCUAGAUUUUCUUGACACUGUCCUCUGUUUAGUUCACAGAUGCAUUGAUGAGUUGUUCAAAGGGCAGAUCACAAUGUGCUACUGCCUAAGCAGAGAGGAUCAAAAGCAGGGGAGGGGCAAUGCCAUGGAAGAUGGUGGUGAGCUCUCUGAGACUCUGUUUGAGAGGGAAAACAUUUUUCGGAAAAUGGGUUUUCUUAGAUUCUCGAGAAAAUGGAAGAAUGGUUCAGAGAAAAGUGAUAGUAGACAAAUGGGUUUCAGUUCCAGGUGGUCUCAUUGUGGAUGUGAGUCCUGUCUUUCAUGGAUAAGUAAUGUUAAUGGUGGUGGUGACCAUAAUCUUUAUGUUUGAAUUAGACAGCCUUCUCAACAAGGACACCAUACUCCAAUAUCCCCAUCAAAAUGGUGCCAAAUUUUCGCUCACCAAUCUUGAAUCACCUGAUCACAAGUGACUUUUUUUGAGCUCGUUUAUUUUUUUGGAUUUCAAAUGUCUUUUUGCACUAUGCGGAUUUGAUUCAUGAUACUAUGACAAGAAUCAUGAAGUUAUAUCUAAAAAUCAAUUGGUGUGAUUAGUGGAAUUACUCAUCUUCUUAUUAAUGACUCAAUAUUCUUACAUUUAUUCUA